rnacentral:rRNA from 1 species
GACGAAGGGGGCUAGCGUUGUUCGGAAUUACUGGGCGUAAAGCGCGUGUAGGCGGUUGUUCAAGUCAGGUGUGAAAGCCUUGAGCUCAACUCAAGAAAUGCACUUGAUACUGGAUGACUAGAGGACCGGAGAGGAUAGUGGAAUUCCCAGUGUAGUGGUGAAAUGCGCAGAUAUCAGGAAGAACACCGAUGGCGAAGGCAGCUCUCUGGGACGGUACUGACGCUGAGACGCGAAAGCGUGGGGAGCGAACAGG